CGCCUCAGCCUGACGCUGCAUUUAAAGUAAGGAACGGAAGUGACGUAGUGGCAGUCAAGCGAAAAUAAACUACAGUAGUCGACGACGGGGCUUAUUAAAGAACACAAACGUUUAGCAUCUGAGUGUGGAUGGUGGACAGGUGUUGAUCCUCCCAGAGAAAGGAUAUCAAUCUGCUGUCGUCCUGGCAAACUACUUGCAACUCUUCAGUCUGAUGUUUGUCAGCGGAUGAACGGCCAAGUAGUUUACACCAAAAAGGGAUGGCAGGAAGCUUAUGUCCAUUUACUGUCCUGAUGGCCAGCAGUUUGGUUUGAGGUUUGUAAUAUUGGAGGAAUUGCAAUGUUAAGUUCUGCAAUUGUUAACAUAAUCAUUUAAGAAAUAAAGUCCUUGUAACUGAA